rnacentral:rRNA from 1 species
CCUGACUGCUAUCGGAUUGAUACUAAGCCAUGCGAGUCUUUGUAGUAAUACAAGGCAGACGGCUCAGUAACACGUAGUCAACCUACCCUAUGGACGAGGAUAAUCUCGGGAAACUGAGGAUAAUACUCGAUAGAUCAUAAUGCCUGGAAUGGUUUAUGGUUAAAAUGAUUCGUCGCCAUAGGAUGGGACUGCGGCCUAUCAGCUUGUUGGUGAGGUAAUGGCCCACCAAGGCGAUUACAGGUACGGGCUCUGAGAGGAGAAGCCCGGAGAUGGGUACUGAGACAAGGACCCAGGCCCUAUGGGGCGCAGCAGGCGAGAAAACUUUGCAAUGUGCGAAAGCACGACAAGGUUAAUCCGAGUGAUUUCUGCUAAAGAGAUCUUUUACCAGUCAUAAAACCACUGGUGAAUAAGGGGUGGGCAAGUUCUGGUGUCAGCCGCCGCGGUAAAACCAGCACCUCAAGUGGUCAGGAUGAUUAUUGGGCCUAAAGCAUCCGUAGCCGGCUCUGUAAGUUUUCGGUUAAAUCCAUGUGCUCAACGCAUGGGCUGCCGAAAAUACUGCAUAGCUAGGGAGUGGGAGAGGUAGACGGUACUCAGUAGGAAGGGGUAAAAUCCUUUGAUCUAUUGAUGACCACCUGUGGCGAAGGCGGUCUACCAGAACACGUUCGACGGUGAGGGAUGAAAGCUGGGGGAGCAAACCGGAUUAGAUACCCGGGUAGUCCCAGCUGUAAACGAUGCAGACUCGAUGAUGCAUUGGCAUAUAGCCAGUGCAGUGUCGCAGGGAAGCCGUUAAGUCUGCCGCCUGGGAAGUACGUACGCAAGUAUGAAACUUAAAGGAAUUGGCGGGGGAGCACCACAAGGGGUGAAGCCUGCGGUUC